rnacentral:misc_RNA from 1 species
AGCGACUGGGGUGAAGUCGUAACAAGGUAGCCGUAGGGGAACCUGCGGCUGGAUCACCUCCUUUCUAAGGAAAUCGAAAAAUAUCAAAACAAUUAUUUUCGAUUUAAAAAAAAUCGGUUAAUGUGACCGUCCUCAUUUCUCUUCUUUUAAUGUCUCUGAGUAAGUGUAAGUAAGGGGCCGGUAGCUCAGGUGGUUAGAGCGCACCCCUGAUAAGGGUGAGGUCGGAAGUUCGAGUCUUCCUCGGCCCACCAAUAUUAUGGGGGAUUAGCUCAGCUGGGAGAGCGCCUGAUUUGCAUUCAGGAGGUCAGCGGUUCGAUCCCGCUAUCCUCCACCAAAAUUUUAGACAUUUACUUUUUUAAAUCGUAAAUAUUAUUAAUAUCAAUAUCUAUAUCCGAUUGUUUUCAGAUAUUUUUUUUGAAAACAAUCAAAACAAAAAUUUAAUUUAUUACAGAAAAGUUUUUUUCUGUGCAUAAAUCAAGCGUUUAAGGGCGAUUGGCGGAUGCCUUGGCACUGUAAGACAAUGAAGGACGUGGUAUACUGCGAUAAGUUUCGGGGAGCUGUAUGCAGGCUUUGAUCCGAAAAUUU